rnacentral:rRNA from 1 species
GAGGGUGAUCGGCCACAUUGGAACUGAGACACGGUCCAAACUCCUACGGGAGGCAGCAGUGGGGAAUAUUGCACAAUGGGCGAAAGCCUGAUGCAGCAACGCCGCGUGAGUGAUGAAGGCCUUCGGGUCGUAAAACUCUGUCCUCAAGGAAGAUAAUGACGGUACUUGAGGAGGAAGCCCCGGCUAACUACGUGCCAGCAGCCGCGGUAAUACGUAGGGGGCUAGCGUUAUCCGGAUUUACUGGGCGUAAAGGGUGCGUAGGCGGUCUUUCAAGUCAGGAGUGAAAGGCUACGGCUCAACCGUAGUAAGCUCUUGAAACUGGGAGACUUGAGUGCAGGAGAGGAGAGUGGAAUUCCUAGGGUAGCGGUGAAAUGCGUAGAUAUUAGGAGGAACACCAGUUGCGAAGGCGGCUCUCUGGACUGUAACUGACGCUGAGGCACGAAAGCGUGGGGAGCAAACAGGAUUAGAUACCCUGGUAGUCCACGCUGUAAACGAUGAGUACUAGGUGUCGGGGGUUACCCCC